rnacentral:rRNA from 1 species
UACGUAGGGGGCAAGCGUUGUCCGGAUUUAUUGGGCGUAAAGCGCGUGUAGGCGGCCCGGCAGGUCCGUUGUGAAAACUGGAGGCUCAACUUCCAGACGUCGAUGGAAACCGCCAGGCUAGAGUCCGGAAGAGGAGAGUGGAAUUCCUGGUGUAGCGGUGAAAUGCGCAGAUAUCAGGAAGAACACCAAUGGCGAAGGCAGCUCUCUGGGACGGUACUGACGCUGAGACGCGAAAGCGUGGGGAGCGAACAGGAUUAGAUACCCUGGUAGUCCACGCCGUAAACGAUGGGUGCUAGGUGUGGGAGGUGUCGACUCCUCCCGUGCCGCAGCUAACGCAUUAAGCACCCCGCCUGGGGAGUACGGCCGCAAGGCUAAA